GAGUUAUGUUCGUUUCAUUUAAAAAAUUUGGCGGUGUUUUAAUCUACUGGGAGGAACCUGUGUUAUGAACGAUCUAACACGUAUUAUUUUACUUAUUUUAGUACAUCGGCUUGUAUGCCGUCAUUAUAAGAUAAUUUAAGACAGAAUAUUAUUGAGAUCUGAUUAUUGACUAUAUUAGAUCAAGGUGCGCCUUAUGGGUAAGCAAACAUGGGUUACAGUAAGGUUUAUUUCAUAUGAAUUAAGUGUUUAAAUAUAUUUAUGAAGGAGGAUUUAAUUGUAAGGGGGGGAGUAGUGAGCUUUU
rnacentral:rRNA from 1 species